rnacentral:rRNA from 1 species
AGAGUUUGAUCAUGGCUCAGGACGAACGCUGGCGGCGUGCUUGACACAUGCAAGUCGAACGAGGUCCAUGCAGCUUGCUGCGGAAGAUCUAGUGGCGAACGGGUGCGUAACACGUGAGAAACCUGCCCCGGACUCCGGAAUAACAGAUGGAAACAUCUGCUAAUACCGGAUGCCGUCUGGACGUCACCUGGCGACCAGACGAAAGAUUUAUCGGUCCGGGAGGGUCUCGCGGCCUAUCAGCUUGUUGGCGAGGUAACGGCUCACCAAGGCAUCGACGGGUAGCUGGUCUGAGAGGAUGAUCAGCCACACUGGGACUGAGACACGGCCCAGACUCCUACGGGAGGCAGCAGUGGGGAAUCUUGCACAAUGGGCGAAAGCCUGAUGCAGCAACGCCGCGUGCGGGAAGAAGGCCCUAGGGUUGUAAACCGCUUUCAGCAGGGAAGAAGAUGACGGUACCUGUAGAAGGAGGUGCGGCCAACUACGUGCCAGCAGCCGCGGUGACACGUAGGCACCAAGCGUUGUCCGGAUUUAUUGGGCGUAAAGAGCUCGUAGGCUGUUCGGUAAGUCGGGUGUGAAAACUCUGGGCUCAACCCAGAGCCGCCACCCGAUACUGCUGUGACUCGAGUGCGGUAGGGGAGCGGGGAAUUCCUGGUGUAGCGGUGAAAUGCGCAGAUAUCAGGAGGAACACCAGUGGCGAAGGCGCCGCUCUGGGCCGUGACUGACGCUGAGGAGCGAAAGCGUGGGUAGCAAACAGGAUUAGAUACCCUGGUAGUCCACGCCGUAAACGUUGGGCACUAGGUGUGGGUCUCAACCAACGAGAUCCGCGCCGUCGCUAACGCAUUAAGUGCCCCGCCUGGGGAGUACGGUCGCAAGACUAAAACUCAAAGGAAUUGACGG